ensembl:lncRNA
AUGUCAGUCUGUGAAGCUGUCUGCCUCACAGGGUUCAGCAUCCUUUUCUAUUGGAUUGGGAAUCUUUUUUUACAAAUGUAUUGUAUGUGGAUCACUGUAUUGGAGACUGGGGUUGGUUUGUCACGGGGGUUGGUUUGUCACAGGUCUUGGUUUUCACAGGGGUUGGUUUGUCACAGGUCUUGGUUUUCACAGGGGUUGGUUUCUCACAGGUGUUGGUUUCUCACAGUUGUUGGUUGUCACAGGGGUUGGCUGUCAGACAGCAUCUUACUGAAAGUAUGGGGUCACAAUGAUAUUGAUGUUGUUUAUCACAAUCUUUGUUUUGCAUCUUUAGCAUAGAACAGUUUAAUUGAUUCCAUUUGAAUUCAGUAUUAUUCAAUACACAGUAAUGUGCAGGACAGUUUAAUUCAGUAUUGCAAAGCACAGCAGUAAAUAUUAUCAUGCUGUAUAGUAAGUUCAGUCCAGUUGGGUUUAGUAUAGUUUAAUUCAGUAAUAUACAGUUUAAUUUAGGGCAGUAAAACAACAACAACAUGUUGUUUCGUUAAGAGAGUUAGGGUGCGGCUUAUUUUAUUGAAAAGAGUAUUAUGCAAUAUACUAGUUGUAAGAAAAACACUUAUCAGUAAAAUGUUUGACAGCUGUUCCCUGUCUCUCAAUACAUUAAAAGAAAGAGGGUAGCAAUAAAAAUAGCAUAUUGAAACGGCAGAACGAAUGGGUAAAGCCUUUCAACUUGCCUGUCAAGCUACAGGUAAACACGUAGUGCAUGAUAAGGUAUCUUGCAGAAAAAGCACGAUCAAACAGAUACUAAGGCCUGAUAUGCUGUUAGCCACAAGACCACACAUUUCUGUACACCGUAUCACAUAAAGUUGUUUAAUAUCGUUCAAGAUAAACUGGUACGACCACCGACUGGGCAGCAGAUCUUUUUCCCAUCAGCACGGGAUACAAGUUAAUAUUGUAAAGAAACAUACUGUCUGUAAACCAGAUAUGACUUAUCAACAUUCUGUAGAGGUUUGGUGUAAUGUUGUUAGCUCACACUUAGCUCACAAAUAAGACGCAAACAAUUGUGAUCUGCCAUUGCUUUGUUUGUAACCCAAUGGGGAAGAAUGAAAACACCUUGUGUUAAAUGAUGUUGCCUGAAACGAUGUUGCCUUUUUUGUUAUGUAAUUAAAGAUGCAUAGUAGGAGAUUUAAAAAAAAGAUUUAACCAGUAGUUGUGAAAGUGGUGCUCAUGAGCCAAGAUGGGUCAAUGUUUUUUGUGUACUACAAUGUCAUCCUACUAUGUCUGGUAUGUUAUGAAUUUGGUGAUCGUAAGAUGCCCUUAUCAGUUGUGUAUGUGAAUGUGAAUGUUUAAGUCUACCAAACGCUUUUGGUUUUCAAAAAUCCCACUGGCUACAGAGACACAUUAUAUCACUUCACCUACAAAAGGCCUCAUGAUAUUUUGCCAUUCGCAGUGUGUCAGUGUGACGCCAUAUAUACUCAAAAUAGUUUGAAGGCAUUGUUCAGUGAUGGGAAAUCUUGGGCUUGGAAGCAGCCAUUGGAUUGGACCAGGACAGGGGAGCAGCUUUCAUUGAUGUCGAGGAAAGUGUUCCCUCAAUGACGGAUGGCAAAGUCUGAUGCCGAAGGCUGUUGUGUAGCAGGGCCAUAAUUCAUCAUCUUUCAUUAUCUCCGUAAUACUAAACAGAAAUCAUGUUCAAUAAUGUUUCUAUCAAUGAUUGUUUGGUUCAUCUCACUUUCUGGUGGAAGCUAUGACUGCACUUGAAGUAGUCGUUGCCUGUAAUAAUAGAGCUAGGAUCUUUUAUUUUCCCUCAAUUGCUAACCUGAACCAUAAGGGAAAUAACAACAUAUCUGACUAUGUAUCAGUGGUAAGGGGAAACCUUUAUAUUGUUUUCGUCAGCUGAAUUGCUUGAAAUAUUAUGUUCUGACACCAUUGGGCCAUGUUAAAUCUGUGAUUGAAUGGGAAUAUGACAGGGGAAUGACACUUGUAAAUAUUACUCAAUAAACACCUUGGGAUUGUAUUUAAAACAUUCCUUUUCACAGUUUUCUUUUCUUUUUUGAAUUUACAAGUCAAAGGGAUUGUCAACUGUGUUCUAUCAUGGGCCCUACAACUCAAUACGAUAUCAUUGAAUUGUUAAAUAUGUAAAUCAUAAUCAGAAAGAGUUUUAUUGCCAAGUAAUUUCCACAAAAGACAAGGAAUUUGUUCGGUCCCUGGGUGCAACAAUGAAUACAAAAGGGAACAAGGGAACAAGGGAAGUAAAAACAAAUGAGAACAGUGGACUGAGCAUAAAAAUAGUAGACUGUGAAUUAAUAAAUUACUAAAAGUGACUAAAAGUAUAUGUAAGGUGCACGAUUUUGUCCAGUUGAGAGUUGUUUGUACAUGUGGGAGAGGGUUAUAAAUGUGUCUGUUGUGUGUAUGUGGGGAGCGGGCUAUAGUCAAUUUGGUUCCAGGGCAUGUUCAUGAGGCCUACUGCUGUAGGAAAGAAACUGUUCUUGUGGCAGGAGGUUUUGUUCCUCACAGACCUCAGCCUUCUGCCAGAGGGGAAUGGACUGAGUAGUCCAUUUCUGGGGUGAGUGGAAUUAGC